rnacentral:rRNA from 1 species
GCCAGCCCGCUCAGAACUUAAGGAAUUGACGGGCCGCACAAGCGGUGGAGCAUGUGGUUAAUUCGAUGAUACGCGAGGAACCUUACCUGGGCUCGAACGUAAGAUGACUGUAGGUGAAAGCUUACAUCUCUUCGGAGCAUUUUACGAGGUGCUGCAUGGUUGUCGUCAGCUCGUGCCGUGAGGUGUCGGGUUAGGUCCCAUAACGAGCGCAACCCCUACCUUUAGUUGCCAUCAGGUAAUGCUGGGGACUCUAAAGGAACUGCCUACGCAAGUAGUGAGGAAGGCGGGGAUGACGUCAAAUCAGCACGGCCCUUACGUCCAGGGCUACACACGUGCUACAAUGGCCGAUACAGAGGGCAGCUACCUGGUGACAGGAUGCAAAUCUCCAAAGUCGGUCUCAGUUCGGAUCGGAGUCUGCAACCCGACUCCGUGAAGUUGGAUUCGCUAGUAAUCGCGCAUCAGCCAUGGCGCGGUGAAUACGUUCCCGGGCCUU